CAGAUAAAUAUAUUUAUAGAUUGUGUGUUUCAGGAAUGGUCAAGAACAAAAUCUAUUUGACGAAGAGAAUGAUGAAUGGGAUGAUUAUGGUAAUGAUACAUUAGUUGACACUGGCGAACCAGGAGUGCCUGUGAAAGCGCUGUAUGAUUAUGAAGGUACCGAAGAAGAUGAGCUAACUUUCCAGGAAGGCGAAACAUUUGUCAAGUUAGAAGACGAAGACGAGCAGGGUUGGUGUAAAGGACGUAAGGAUGGACGAGUAGGGUUAUACCCAGCAAAUUAUGUCGAGGUGAUCGAGACUUAGUAUUUUCUUCACUGGUUGUUCUGUUGGCCCUAUGGGAACCUUAAAGGAUUCAUUCCACUCGUGCUCCUAUCUCCACAACUACUAGUAGCCAUAGGCAGUGACCAACUCAAGUUUUCCAUUUGUUCAUUCCCUAGGAGUCUGUGAUGAAACGUUCUGUAGGGAAGAUUUCUGCAGAUGCUGUCCCUCCAAUAAGGUUAUGUAGAACCCGAACUGUUGUAAAAAUAAAAUUAAAACUUCCUGUCUCUCUCUGA